ACAUGAUGAAAUGUAAAUUUAAAAGAAUCUAGUUUAACAAACACUGUCCAUGGUUCUGAAUAUAACCUGGUCUCCCUAUAAUGGGUUUAAUAUCCUCUAUCUAAAUUCCCUAGUGUUUAAGUCUUCUUUGGAUUCUUUUUGGAAUUCACUGAGUGAGUGGGGACCCAUUUUCUUUUGACCCCACUGUAUCCCUGUAAUCUCCAAAGCUAUAAGAAAGAAAUGAACAGAUGUGUAACAAUGCCUGUGAUAUUCAAACAACAUAGUAAUACAUGGAUUUAUUUUAACUCCAUAUGAUUUUAGGCUAUAAGACAGAUUAAAAAUUUGUACUUCAUAACUUCCUUGCUUUAAUUUUUCUCUUCUUUUCAGGGUAUUUAUUUCUUCUGAGCAUCUUUGUACAUGCCUUAUAAAAGUAAAAAAAAAAAAUUCUUAUUGCUUAAUUUUAGCUUUGUUGCUAUGCUAAAUUGUACCCUAGGCAUCUCAUUAAAAUCAAUUCAGGGUCUGAAUUUUUACUUUCAUUAAUGUGGUUACAUUAAAACUUUCUCAAAAUAUUUCAGCAUGAGUAAUCCUGCCAAUUUAUAUAUUUAUUAUGAUUGUGGACAAUAUAUUGUCCAUCUAGUUAAGGGAUAUAUAAGACUAAUCAUGGUGGUGUAUACCUGCUCAUAGAGGUAAAAAUUCCAUGAGAUUAAAUGUAGCUUUAGCUGUGUUUGAGUUUAAGGCCAAAUUAUAUGGUGAGACUCUAUGCUAAAAUACAACCAUUACCACUACCAUCUCCAUUAUUGCCAACACCAACACCAUAAUAACAGUGAUUGUAAGCAGAAAAUGGUAAAUGGAAAUGGGGAGCAAAAGCUGACUUUUAUCCCAAAUGAGACCUCUGGGUUCAUGUGUAGAUUGGAGUGUGGGCAGAGUUAUGUUUUUAGUACACUGAUGAUGCUUCCAUCGUCUAAAACUUAAUUGAUAAAUAAAUGAAUUGACAAUUAUGCUUUUAUAUACUACAGACCACAGUCGGAAUACUUAUUAGAUUGAUUGACCUGAUUUUUUCCUACAUAAAAAUUGAGUUCUUCCAGUAUUUAACAUUAAGUCCAUGUAUGACUGACAUGCAUGCCUAUCUGUGCCACUGCCCAUAUAAUGUUGUAAUACAUGGCGCCAUGGACUAUAUAUUGUCUCUGCUCUUGAGUAGAGAGGGAAUUUAUGCUCAUCACCUUUGAUUUUCAGCACUAGAACAACUGGCAAAAAUGGAGCUUUGAGGGACUUGCACCCUCUCACCAAGAAAUAGGAGACAUAGCAAGAUGGAGCAAAACUGCAUAGAUUAGAUCACAGCUGUGCCUCAUUAGAUAAACCCUACCAUCAUUCAAAGGAUGCUAUUAGGAAAAGGGGAAGCAUUAAAUAUGUACUGUUCCUGCUAAGGAUCAAAUAAGCUCUUGUCUUUCAUAAUUCCAGUCUCACCUAAUAUUCCUUACAUCUUACAGAGCACAUAUGAUCAUCUCCAUUUUAGAGAUGAUGAAGUUAGCCUUAGAAGACCAACUCCCUAUUGGAAAGGGGCUAAGCUUACUCUGUAUGAGUCACAUGUCUAGAUUGAAUUAUAUAUGCCAUUCAAAUCGAGACAUGCCCUUUUUUCAGCUGGGAAAGUGCUGUAAGAUCUAGCAUUUAAAUUCAGCACAGUAUUGUGCUCUACAAGAAGUAGUUAUAGAUAAAUGUUGAAUUAUUUUUAAACAAUCUAUGUCCAAGCCCUUCUCCAAGUGGUUUUACUUUUUUAAUAACUAAAACCUGUCCUCUGUUUCUUCUGUUUUAAUAAUUGUAUUUUAUUAUCUUAAUUUACAUAAAAAGCAACUAGAUUUAUAGCAAUCCACGGUCACUAUUUUAUCCUCCAGUUCUUGGGAGAGUCAUGCUGUAACAUGUCAAAAGCCAGCAUUGCUGUCAAGGGGAUCAAACUAUUAACAAGCUGUUUGUGAAUCAGUUCAACUUGAAUUAGUUUAUAUGAACACUGAUUCUUUUCUGUUUAUGCUGCUGACUUCACUUACUUUGAACUUCAAGAUGACACUACACCCAUUUCCAGUAGAAUAUAGUUUAGUCAAGAGCAUCCCUCCAAGUGGAUCACAGUGCAUAAGGAGUCUCUCUGUCUUGUUUAGAAGCCCCUGUGUGGAAUCAGACUGCCUGGCAGGCCUUUGCUGUACUCCACAGAACUUGGACUGGGUCCAGGACUGCCAGACAGCCCCUUGGCAAGCAAGCUGGCCAAACAGUCAUGGCACAGAGAUGCUCUGUACUUUCACUGGGCACCACGCCCAGCAUCAUCUGGAGAGAGCAAGGAGCUCUGCAGAUCGAUUAUGGAUUAUGGUCUCCUUGACACUAGGGUUACAGGAAAGCUACAAUCCUAGGUUUCCUAUCCGUUCUGGUUGAGGAGUCAUUGUAAAAACAAAAAC
rnacentral:lncRNA from 1 species